UACGUAGGGUGCAAGCGUUGUCCGGAAUUAUUGGGCGUAAAGAGCUCGUAGGCGGUUUGUUGCGUCGGCUGUGAAAUCCCGAGGCUCAACCUCGGGUCUGCAGUCGAUACGAGCAAACUAGAGUGUUGCAGGGGAGACUGGAAUUCCUGGUGUAGCGGUGAAAUGCGUAGAUAUCUGGAGGAACACCGGUGGCGAAGGCGGCAUCCUGGACCGGCAUUGACGCUGAGGCGCGAAAGCUAGGGGAGCAAACGGG
rnacentral:rRNA from 1 species